GUUGGUCUAGUGGUUAGAACGUCUACCUCGGAUGCGGGAGGUUACGGGUUCGAACCCCGGCCGAUCUAUA